UAUAUAUCAGCAAAUUGUAACAACUGGUAACUGUUUAAAUGUCAAUGUGUGGUCUUAGCUAGUUGCUUAUUUGUAAAACAUUCUAGCAAGGAUGGCCUGCAUCACAUACUAGUGUAGAAUGUGAGAUGCACAUUUGCAAAAAAUGUCUGAAGAGAGUCAUAGAAGGCUGAAAACAUUAUUGCUUGCUGUUAUUAGUAUAUAUACUAAAUAUGUAAUAAUAAAUUGUGUAUUUUUCCUGCUUAAAAUGCUUGUGAAUUCUUUAUAUUUUUAUCUGUCAUUUCUUAAUACUAAUAAUUUUAAACUUCUUAUUAAAGUAUUAUUUUAUCUAACUUUUAAUGUAUAUAUAUUACUGAUGUGUUAAUUUUUGAAUUAGAAUAUUUCAGCAAUAUAUUUUUUGAUAUGC
rnacentral:lncRNA from 1 species